UACAGAGGGGGCAAGCGUUGUUCGGAAUUACUGGGCGUAAAGGGCGCGUAGGCGGCGCGGUAAGUCGGGUGUGAAAUCUCGGAGCUUAACUCCGAAACUGCAUUCGAUACUGCGGUGCUUGAGGACUGGAGAGGAGACUGGAAUUCAUGGUGUAGCAGUGAAAUGCGUAGAGAUCAUGAGGAAGACCAGUGGCGAAGGCGGGUCUCUGGACAGUUCCUGACACUGAGACACGAAGGCCAGGGGAGCAAACGGG
rnacentral:rRNA from 1 species